GAGCUUUUAUCAAAAAAAAAAAAAAAAAAUCCUUUUGUACACUUAUCAGAGUAUUUUCAGCAGCAGUUUUUACCAAAUCCAACAAAUAGAUUGCUCUGAAAUAAUCCAAAACUGCAGGAAAUUUCCCAAUUUUAUUUCUUCUUCUUCUGAAGCUAGAUGAAGAUAUUUUUGCACUAUUCAUUUUGUGGGAUUUGUAGCUUUGUAAACGAGAGAGAGAAAGAGGGUGGGGAAGAUAGACAAAUUGUCUUUUAUCCAGUAUUUUUCUUCUUUCUUUUGUGAUAAUAAAUCUUACUGGCUCAUAUUGCUGAUGCAUAUACAUCUUGCUGAGUUUCUUAAUGCAGCUGAACAUGGCUCUUUCUCUGUGAGUCUGACAAGAAGUCUGGCUAUUGAUCUGUUACCAGGUUAGGAAGCAUGAAUAUGUUUUUAGCAAAGCUAUGGACAAUUUAGGGACCAGGAGCUAUGAUUCUGGCAGCAAUUAUGUUUCAAGACUUAAAGUUCAACAUCCUGCAGUUUUAUAACCCCAGCUCUGCAGAAAAUUAUUUGAGUCACUGUCAUUGUAAUCACUUUAGGAAUACAUUUACAGGGUUAUGUGUUUUCAGUGAAUGUUACUGGAGCGCCAUUAGCUAAGAAUUGUUUUGAUCUUGCACAACUUGAGUGAAUCGAUGUCAUUAGUUUUAAAUUUUGAAAACAAAACUAACAUAAUACCCCGUGGUUUCCCCUGCAAGCUGUACUGCUGGAGCGGGAUGUGCUUUUACCUGAAAUGAAAGAAGCCAAGCUGUGAGUCACUUCUGUGAAAAGGCUUCUCUUGUUUUUUGAGGGUCUGAACUUGCAGAGUGCUGUGUGGAAAUGACUCUGUGUGCUGCUGUGGUUUUUGACAUGUGCUGUUUUAUGUGUGUUUUAAGCUACCUCAUACCUCCAAGUUUUCUGUUGCUUCUUAAGAGUCCUUUAUUUCAGGCAUAGGUAAUCUUAGUGGGUUUUUUUUUCCUUUGUAUGUAUGUGAUAACUAAAUAAAAUAAUUGCUAGGUCUUACAUUUUGAGGGGAAAGAAUGAAUUUUUAGCAUUUAAAUAUUGUGUGUUUGUCCUUCUAGCUCAGAUGGUAUCCAGUUCAUACCAAUAAAUUAUCUGUGAUAUCUUCAAGUGGAAUAUAAAGAUCAAACAUAUUACUAAGUCCAAACAUUUUUUAUAUGUAUUGCAGAGAGAAAGCAGACAGAGUAGGAGUGGAUUGAUCAACUGCAGUAGAUUUGCUUUGCAGCGUGCUUUGAAUUUUAGGUCCAAGCUUAAACUACAAAAUUGCUUAAAAAGUAUUCUGGAUUCCAGCUGCACAAGGUGCAGUUUAAAUCUCCAACUCACACAGAAAAUAACAACAGGAGGGAGAUGUUAAUUAAUAUGUCUUCUGUGGUAGUCUUCCGAACUGAAGAUGCUUUGAGGUGAGGCUAAAAUCAAAAUCAGCUUAAACUUAUAGAUUAGGUUAAGGUUUUCAUGAGACAGUAUUCCACCAUUUGCAGUAAAACUUGCCAGGUAAGGGUCAACCAUAUAAAGAAAAAAACCCCAACAUUUUCUUCAGACAAUUAGUUGUGCACCCAAUUCUAGCAUGUAGCACCUGGAAAUGAGAAGCCAGAGUUUGAACAGAGUGUGAGCUCAUUAGGUCUUCCAGGAAGAGCUUC